AACAUAGUCUUAGACACACAUCCAGUUUUAUGAAUCUAGUGCUGCGUAAAGAUCACAAGGACAAAAUGACUUAAUGACCAAACCUGACAAUACAUGACAAUCUUUAUGUUUUCAGAUUAACAUAAUUGAUAAGUGUGGAAGGUCAGUGUUCAGCUUUCUGUGUCAAAUGCUGUGCAAAAUGUUUUCACACCUCAGGGGUUUUCUCAGCUGUGGAUUGUCUGUGUGCAUUUUUUCUAUCUCAUGUUCUUGGCUCUGUGGUCAAACGCUAGAAGAUUAAAUAGUUACUCAAAGUGAAAAUGUGAAAUUGUGUAAUGUUUUAUUUUUUAUACAUUCAUUUCUAUUGAUAUGUUUGACCUGAAGCAUUUGGGGGGAAAAGUGUGUCAAUGUACAAAAUGAAAGAUGUCCUCUCAGAAAUGCUAAAUAUUCCCAUGGAAAUUCACUCAGUAUGGAGAGUUUUCUUUUCAUGCAUCUCUCGCUAUAAACCACACAGACAAAGCUCAGAAGUGCAGUUGGUGCUAGUUACAGUUGGAAAAUAGGAACUUGACAACAACAACAAACAACAACAAAGUACUAGUGUGGUUUGGCACUACAUGCAGUCCUCAGAGCGGGAUUUGUGUCCUGCUAAAAAAGGAGGGAAACUCUCAAAGAUGCUUCCUCCUCCAUCCUCCUCAACCUCAGGGAGCUGGCCUGCAAGUUGCCUUUUACAGUCAAGUGGUAGUUUAGAGCUCACUCCUCCUAUUGGUCAGUUUUUUUUAUGAGUCCCUCCCACCUCGUCCUGACUGGCUGAAACCUCACACCGUCUGUCACUGCUGCAGUUGAGACCAGAGACGCAGGAGUGUAAAGACUUCGACUCCCAGCAGCACAGAGGCUGAUUAUUCUCUGUAAGCUAAUCAUGUCGGGUGCUAAAGCAAGUAAAUGUUUUUCUUCAGUUGAAGUUCCCCAAACAACCUCAGCAGUACUAGCCCUCAAUGUAUGUGCCACCCGAACAACACUAUAACUAAUAUAUCGUAGUCUACUACACAUCAGUGUUAUAAUAUCAUGCUGCUGUAUCAUGACGUGCUUCCAGGACAUCCUUGACGCUAUCUCCAGUGUCCUCUGGACCGUGUAGUCCAUGGGUGUAGUCACAUUUCCCACACAUACAGUAGGCCACCGUAAUUACCUCGUCAUACAGCAGAACACACACAAUAUCAGUCCAAAUGUUCUCGUUGUGAGUGAAUAGCAGUCAUCAGUCAUUCUAACUUCAUUUAAAUGUCUGUGAGGCUGUCACAGAAUUAUGAACAUCCUGUUGCUGAUCUUUGCUCUUUGCCGCCAGACUCUCAGCGCUGCUAUGGCCUUUUUUUUAGGCAGAGAUGUCUGUGUCCCUCGCGCCCCCCCGCGGCUUGCAGUCGAACCGAGCGCUGCGCGCGGCUCAGAGAGACAGACACGAUCUGCCCCUCGCGUACCAGCUGCUAAAGGAAAAUGAAAUUUCAAACUUUGCAACUUUGACUUGGACUGAAAAACACAAUUCUGUUAAAAGGGUAGACUGCAGGCAGCUGUUUGAAAUGGUGGAGAGAGGAUGAGAGUGGUAUCACUCCAGAGAGGCUGCAGAGAAAACCAGGAGUGGAGUCCAAAGUGGAACUGGAUUCACUGGACAGGUUUUCAUGAGAAGAGGCAGUGAUCAUGUCAGUAACUGCAGCUGUGUGUUAGAACAAAUUUAUUUACAACUUUACUUUGAAUAUUGAUUGAUUGUGAUUCUUUUAAUAAGAAAACACAGACUGAAAGCAAAUGGAAGCUUUUCUACUUGUCACCCACAGAGGUUUGUUGUUUUCCCAUUGAAAUCUAGUCAAACAGGUUUGUAUGACACUUGAAUAGUUAAAAGGAUGAAAUGACAUGUCACAGGUCUGAUGAUGUGUUUAUGGAACUUAAAAUAAUAAGAUGACAAUUGGCAUGCCCAAUAAACUGUAGAACAGAAUCUCAGCCAUCACAUAGUCAGUCAAAGUCAGUUAGCCCCUUUUCCCACUGUACACAAACAGAGAUGUUAAAGGUGCUGGAACUAUGAACAACGUACAAGGAAUGGCUGUGCACAGCUAUGGUAUAGUAUCAUGGUGCCUUAAACUGAAACCAGACUGAAACCAAAAGCUGUGCUCAUCCACUAUAUUUGGUUACUAUAAAGCAGAUCAGUGUGGAAACUGAUGAUGAAGAUGAUGAAGAACUUCUUUCAGCAUUUAUCAUGACAGUGACAAAUUCUGUUUACCAGGCAAUACGAGUGUAGACAUAAAAGGUUUUUGAUGCAGUGAUUCCAUUUAUCAUCAAUACAAAAUGCUGAAAGAGUUUUUCAUCAGUUUGUUCUGAUCUCUUCAACAAAAGCAGCACAUGGAUAAUUGAAUUUUCACUUUGUGAAUUGUGUUUCCCAGCUCUUGCUCAUGUUAAGCAUGUGCUUAUAUUAAAUGUUCUAUACCUCAGGCAAGGUUUGAUGUUGAAUCUACACUUUCUGCAAACACAAUUUCAGGAGUCUAUACUCCAGUGCACAUCAAAUGCCUUUUUGUUAAAGAAACCUUUUUCCAAAGUUUGACAGGACUAAGUGCGUGUGUCUUGUCAUUUUAUUUAGACAUCUAAAUAAUCUUAUGUAUAUGUAAAAUGUGUGUACCGUAUGAAUUUUGAGUCUGUCAAGGAGAAGAAUCAGAUACAUAUCUAGUUGUUUGCUUGCAAUCAUGUAACUUUGAGCAUGAGGCCUGCUUCUCCUGCAGAAUGUACAGAAAUGUUGAGGGCAGUGAGUAUGAGCAGACAUACAUGUCACUUCAAACUGAAUUUAAAUCAUUUCUAUUGGAAUUUGAAAUGUUCAACUUGAAUAAUUGCACUGAAUUUGAAUCACAUAAUUAGAUGUUUUAUUGUUUAAGUUGCAUUGAACAACUGAAUCUGAUUAGCAUUAGUCUGGAUUUUAAUUUCAAUAAUCUUGAAACUGUAUGUGACAUCAUCAAAUUGUUUUCAUUUGUUCUGACACUGUAUUUGAUCCUUACUGAAAAUUCAACUCUCUAUAUAUAUACUUCCACAUUCAGUUCUAACAAUUCAGAUUCACUCAUAAUUCAAGUUCAAUAAUUGCAAUUCAAUUUCAGUUUACUGAGACACUCAUUCAAUCAAUGAGGAAGAGCAAUCGGGUUUAAAUUCACACAACUCUUGUUCAUGUUUUCCUCUGGACAUGGUACUCUUUGGCUACAUGAAGCGGCAAAAUUAUGAAAUCAAGACUGGUUUUUCUUAAUUGUAAUGACAACACUGAUGCUAGGUGUGUAGUUUGACAGUAAAUUAAAAUUAAAAUCCAAUAGUAUUCAAGGAUGUUAGUAUGACUGGAUGUUUGUAUCACUUAGUUUAGCAACACAUAAAAGUAAAAUAGACAAGGGAAGGUGAACGCUUCUGUUGUGUUGGAUUAUCAAGUGCAGGACAUGGCUAUUUCCCGGAGGCAGUACAUAGCAGUGCACGUUUGAUAUGUACUGAAUUUGUUUAAGUAUUGAAAUGAUUAGUUUGUUUGUUCUGACUUAGCACUAGCUGCCACACAUCACUUUGUGCCAGUGUAAUGUGUGUGACUUCAUAGCUCUGUGUCAGUGGCGUCACAUAUUUAACAUCCUUUUAUGUCAGUUUUAGUUUCACGUGCACUGGUUUGUACAUGAAGAACAGGAUGCUGCACCUGUCUGCAUCCUCAGUUGGGUAUUUAAACAUCCAUUGUCUGGUUAACAUGAAUUUGGACUUUUAUUGUGAGUAAUGUGUGAUGUGUGUAAAUACAUUGGGCACUAUGUAAAUAAAACUGGAUUGAAGUGAAUUGAGUUGAAUUGUCUGAGCAGGACAAAUGAACAAAAAGAAGCUUUUUUUUUUUUUUUUUUUUAAAAGGCAUUAAUUGGAGCUACUUUAUUGGCCACACUGCACACUGACAGUUUAUGUGUUAGCACAAUAAGUGUGAAAUAUAAAGUGACACAAAAACUGUGAGAAAGUGGGAUGUGAAAAUAUUUGUACAGAUAUUUAUAUAUGUGACAGAUCAAUGAUGGAAACUCAAUACACACCACAACUUAUUGAAUGGCUUGAUGAGUAUGAAAGUGAUACGAAUCAGGUGCCAGAGCCUUCAGUCACCAGGUGUUCACACGACCAAACACAGAGGGGAGGUUUGCUGAACCUUCACCGCCAUCUUAAAACACCCGAUGAAAGAAUAUCUCUGGGAUAGAAUGCUGCUCAUCCUUCAAGCAGAGUUCCUUAUACUUAAGAGGAUCUGUGAGCUGUUCACUGUCCUUGUGUAAUUUGUUCAUAAACAGUCUUAUGCUACAUUCAUUUAUUUUUGACAAUAUGUGUGUUAAUGUUGGGCAUGUAGAACAACUACCGGGCAUAUUUUUUCAAACAGCCUACAUUCAAACAACAAUAAAGCACCAACCUUAUGAACCAACAAAUGUAAUUUAUUCUCAGCACAACUGCUUGAGAGAUGUCUGCUUAGACGUGUCGGAGUCGCGCUAAAUGUUAAUAUGCGCUAGAGCUAUCGUUCAAACAUUUUCGAUACAGAUACGUUGAUUUCGAUAACGGCUCCUGAACAAUACUUUUUUCGACACUAAUGUUAUUAAAUCAAUUCUAACAAAGAAAAUGACAUUACAUAUUAUGGUACAAAUCUGGAGUUUUAUUUUUCAGCUUUGGCAUUUUUCCACUGAAAGCAGCUUUCCAACAUAAAAAAUAUACAACAAAUAAUUUUCAGUGCAAAAGAACAAGUGACAGUCAGUGUCUAAUGCUCACUGCUGCAGACUAAGCACCUUUAAAUCUUCCUGCAGUUGAACACGGAGCAACUUUCUGCUCGUAAAUUGUUUCCGUGCACGUUCCAAUGCUUCAUCAAAUUGGUUGUGUUGCCUUAGCAACGAUGUCCUUUUUACUAAUAUUACAUCACGUACUAUUGACAU